rnacentral:rRNA from 1 species
UACGAAGGGGGCUAGCGUUGCUCGGAAUCACUGGGCGUAAAGGGUGCGUAGGCGGGUCUUUAAGUCAGGGGGGAAAUCCUGGAGCUCAACUCCAGAACUGCCUUUGAUACUGAGGAUCUUGAGUUCGGGAGAGGUGAGUGGAACUGCGAGUGUAGAGGUGAAAUUCGUAGAUAUUCGCAAGAACACCAGUGGCGAAGGCGACUUCCUGGCCUGUUCUUGACGCUGAGGCGCGAAAGCGUGGGGAGCAAACAGG